rnacentral:tRNA from 1 species
GGAGGUGUAGUUCAAUGGUAGAAUGUUUGCCUACCCUGCACAGGGCCCUGGGUUUGAUCCCUAGCACUGCUA